rnacentral:rRNA from 1 species
AUGAGCAUGAAAAAAUCAGAAGGGGUUGGUGAAUUUGCGUUGAAGCUAACCUCCCUGGUUAAUGAGAUGCGGGCUCUCGGAUCAAAGAUGGAGGACAUCGCAGUUGUGGAGAAGUUACUUCGAGCUGUUCCCGAUAAGUUUUUACCGAUCGUUGUCACCAUAGAGCAGUGGGGCGAUGUGACGAAGAUGUCGGUGAUGGAGGAUUCUUCGUCGCCGUCAAGUUGUGUCACGGACGACGGAAAAUCGAAGAGGAUCAUGUCGACUUCGAAGGCGAGUGGUGGUGGUGUGACCAUCCAGUUCCCCAUGCUUGAAGGCGGCAAUUAUGGGGUGUGGGCUGCAAAGAUGAAGAUCUUCAUGCGUGCACGUGGAGUCUGGGCAGCGGUGGAAGGUGAUGGUGCGGUCGAGGAGAUAAAGGACCAAGAAGCUUUCGCCGCCGUAGCCCAAGCUGUGCCUGAUGCCGUUUUCAUGACCAUAUCGGAGAAAGAGACGGCAAAGGAAGCUUGUGAAGCUCUCAAGGAGAUGCAUGCUGGAGAUGAUGGCUCGUGUUCAAGCUCUAAGGAGGGACUAACCUCCCUGGUUAAUGAGAUGCGGGCUCUCGGAUCAAAGAUGGAGGACAUCGCAGUUGUGGAGAAAUUACUUCGAGCCGUUCCCGAUAAGUUUUUACCGAUCGUUGGCACCAUAGAGCAGUGGGGCAAUGUGACGAAGAUGUCGGUGAUGGAGGAUUCUUCGUCGCCGUCAAGUUGUGUCACGGACGACGGAAAAUCGAAGAGGAUCAUGUCGACUUCGAAGGCGAGUGGUGGUGGUGUGACCGUCCAGUUCCCCAUGCUUGAAGGCGGCAAUUAUGGGGUGUGGGCUGCAAAGAUGAAGAUCUUCAUGCGUGCACGUGGAGUCUGGGCAGCGGUGGAAGGUGAUGGUGUGGUCGAGGAGAUAAAGGACCAAGAAGCUUUCGCCACCAUAGCCCAAGCUGUGCCUGAUGCCGUUUUCAUGACCAUAUCGGAGAAAGAGACAGCAAAGGAAGCUUGGGAAGCUCUCAAGGAGAUGCAUGCUGGAGAUGAUCGUGUCAAGAAGGCUCGUGUUCAAGCUCUAAGGAGGGAGUUCGAGAGGAUGAGCAUGAAAGAAUCAGAAGGGGUUGGUGAAUUUGCGUUGAAGCUAACCUCCCUGGUUAAUGAGAUGCGGGCUCUCGGAUCGAAGAUGGAGGACAUCGCAGUUGUGGAGAAGUUACUUCGAGCCGUUCCUGAUAAGUUUUUACCGAUCGUUGGCACCAUAGAGCAGUGGGGCGAUGUGACGAAGAUGUCGGUGAUGGAGUCUUCCUGUCGUCCGGGUUUUGCACAGUUCUGCUGGCGUCCAGUUUGUGUAAAUAGAUUCAUGGACUUUGUUAUCUUUGAAAACAUGAAAGAUAUCAAGCACAUUGGCAUCGACAUGUACUGCAUUAUUUUUCCAUGUCAUUCUUCUGAAGAAUCUGAAGUUUCCAAAUCUCUGUUGGUAAUGUUGCAGGCUUGUGGUGGCGACGCUGACGGUCGUCGAGAGGUUCAUGGACUGGAUGGUGUCGUGGCUGCCGAUGGAUUCCUUCGUCCGCUGAUGGCGAGGCACAAGGACGACAUCGAUCGAGGCCUGCUAGAUCUGAGGGUCAGGGCGAGGGAUGUAACGACGUCGCAACUCAAGGCGGCGGCUGCCGUCGGUCAGGUGUGGCUCGCGAGGCUGCCCGGACCUCAGGAGGACAGGGUUAUUACUUUGGAGUUUCAGAACUCGUACUUGGUUUACGGGGUUAACAAUUGGGUCCAUGUUUCAGCGACAUUGUACAAGUGUGUUUGCUUAGCUGGAUUUCUGCCCUCAUUUUCUAUUUCACAUCCCCCAGUCAUUUUUUGCAGAUUCGAUUUGGUCAUAUUAUAUAUUCUUAAAAUUGACAUUCAUAAUCCGCUGGUCUAUGGCCCGGGUGUCGAGGCGCUUGUCAGGGACGAGGACCAGCCUGACCUCAAGAAGUCCAUCGUCGCACUACCCCGCAUCUUGAAGUUCAAGGUCGGCACCCCAGCGGGCACAACCUCCACCCAUGCAUCUACCAGGAUCAAUUCUCUGUCGCAAUCAUCCUACCUGCUGCCAGCUCCCCCUCGUUAUACUAAAACUAUCACACCAAAGGCGAGGAUCCUUGAUCUCCACCAUAGCGAUGAAGCCAGUGUCGGAGUCGCCGUCUUCGCCAAGGAUAGUCACAAUGACGGAAAGAUCCAUGGGAGCAAGAAGAGGGAGGACAACAUAUUUUAG